GUAAAACGGCUCAUCCAAGAAGCCGUCCCGUCAUCGUUGAACAAUUUACCACUCUACACACAAGUGCCUUCAGCCACAGUGAUUCAAUCAAUCAGCAUGACUUCCAAAGAGUUUUGUGUAGUUGUGUUUGUUGAAACACAAGAGGUGGAUGUUGCUCCAAGCAUUUGGCUUUCAAAAAAUGAAAGAAAAUGUAGAUGGCCUCCAUACAGAGACUCCCAGAAAACUCAAAAGGCUAUCAAGGACCAAGUCAUGCCUGGGGAAAGUUGGCCUACCUAUCCAGUGUGAGUACUUGGCUUUUAGGAUUGAAGCGUAAAACACUUUAUGAAGACACAGACUGCUCUGACUCAUCUGGAGAUACAUCAACUAUGCAGCCAAGCCCAAGCACAAUUCCAGAACCCCCUCGUGUUUCUGGUUUCCCAUCUCUUCAAAGAAGUAAUGCUUUUUGCAUCCCUAAGGUUGACAGAGACACGCAUUCUCACCGUAAGUGAUGCUGCUAACUUUGCAUAAACAUUUUGGGUGUAACUGUAAUAUCUUACAUUUAUCUUUUAACUUUUUUGCAAUAUUGAUAAAAGCUUAAUUUGUAUACAUUGGUUAUCAUGUUUCAUAUAAGUAAUUUAGAUAUUCAAUUAGUAUACCUCAUGAAAAAAAAUUCUCGUGAAAUAGUAGUGAAACUGGAAUUUUUUCAAGCUUCAUACAUGACAUCAUUGUUUAAAAGACUUACUGAACCUAUACACUCUAAUCAGAGUACCUGUAGACCAGAAUGAUUGCAUGCAAAUCUAUUCCAGGAACUGAUGGACAUAAUUUAUCACACUGGUCACAAAUCAAAUCUACACACGGCCAUUCCAGCACUACAGUAAUGUUAACAUUACAGUCUGGCAUGUACACAAGUAUAUCCUAAGGCACCUGAUAGACAUAGGUCACACUGGUUACAGAUUACACUUAUAUCUAUAGCCAUUCUAACGCUACAGUAACCUUAACAUGCACUUUACACAAGAUACAUGGGCUUACCAAUGUGGACUAAGCCACCAUGGUAAGGUAUGGUCUGGAGUUAAAGGCUGACUAACAACAAAAUCACUGUGUGAUAUUUCAUUACAUACUAUUCUACAUACUAUUCUGCUUGUUCUAGUGACUUAGAAAUCUGAAUCUGAAAUUUCUAUGGCAACUUUUUCUUUGAGAAUUGAAGACUAUUCUACUUGCUUUAGCAAGAUGUGAGACACGCAUGGAAGAUCAAACUAAACUGCUUCAACAACUAAUGGCAACGCAGAAGGAUAUGCUACACCAGCUGUUGACAAUGCAGUCGGUAUCAUCAUCAUCACAGGAAUAUGACUUUACUGCUGUUGAUGAUGUACUACCAAUUGAAACACUUCAGGGAUUUGAUGCUCUUGAAGGAAGACUGACAUCUGAUCAAGAAUUUAAAGAGCUUAUGGUACAACGGCUGAAGGUUUUGGGAGGAACUACAUUGAGAGUUGCAGUAAAGUCAAUUUUGGAUACUGUCAUGUCAAAUCGACUGCAACAGAAAUUCAAUUGGGAGGGCAAGAAGUGUUGGAAAACAAAGGAGAAUUUCACCAAGAUAGGAUUCAAGUCAACAAAGCUUUGUCAACUGGUGUGUGGUGAGUACAAUUUCAAGUAUAUAUGAAUCAUGUAAUUAGAACAGUCCAACUUAAGAAAUGCUAAAUAAUACUUGAUGUUGGUAUUAGAAGACUGCUAUGUUGGUUAUCAUAAACAUUGAAUAUAUUGUUUUCUUCCCAUAAACAAUUCAAAGAAACUAUCCUCCAGGUGAAUAAAGAAAAAUUGGAAGCUCUUCUGCUGUGGCCACCUCUUUGUUAGACGUUCCUGAAUGGAGUGAGGCAUCAGAGAGAUAGUUUGAUAAAUCUUAUACUUUCUUUCAAGCAGAGGAAAAAUAUUUAUUGUACUUGAGUUCGAGAGUAAGUCAUGAGUAGAAAUUAUUCAUAAUGUUCCUGCAUGCUUCCUCCGUCCUACAUGGUGGAACACCGUUCCCUUGCCGUAUGGCAGCUGUGCCCACUGGCCAGUGGUUAGGCACCUGGGGGUUAUUGGCUUCCCACCCACCCGUAGCUACGCCACUGUAACCUUCCCUAUUUAAGUAACACCUGACUGGGAUGACAGGGUGACUAAUGAGGAGGUGAUGAGAAGGUCUAGAGUAGGGGAACAGCAGCCUUUCAGUGGCCAUUAGAUUUUACAGAAUUAAUAAUGUAUAGUUAAUAUAUUUACAUCACAUUAUUUUUUGACAGGAGUGCUGCUCAUGAAGCCACAAUUUUCUACAGAUGAGAAGGAGAUUGGUCAAACAAUUAUGAAAUAUCUCCGUUGUUCCAGCGAUCGUUGUGGAGGUAGAGCACAAAGGUUGAAAUCCCAGUCAAAUGAUUCAGCACAUUCAUCACAAGAUGGUGUUUUGUCAGACAUAGAUAGCUAGAUCUUAAUUAGGUGAUUGAUCACAAUAGCCAUGUCAGAGUAUGGCUUAAGUAUUUGUAUACGGUUCUUUUUUACUGGGAAAGUAAUGGAAGGAAUUUCAUCUCAUGCAUUACAAAAGAUUCUCCAAGGAAAAGAUUACUGGAUUUGUUAUUUUCAGUUUCUGUUUGA